AGUAACGCGUGGAUAACCUGCCUCACACAGGGGGAUAACAGUUAGAAAUGUCUGCUAAUACCGCAUAAGCGCACGGCAUCGCAUGAUGCAGUGUGAAAAACUCCGGUGGUGUGAGAUGGAUCCGCGUCUGAUUAGGUAGUUGGUGGGGUAACGGCCCACCAAGCCGACGAUCAGUAGCCGACCUGAGAGGGUGACCGGCCACAUUGGGACUGAGACACGGCCCAAACUCCUACGGGAGGCAGCAUG
rnacentral:rRNA from 1 species